UACAGAGGGUGCGAGGCGUUAAUCGGAAUUACUGGGCGUAAAGCGCGCGUAGACGGUUUGUAAGUCAGAUGUGAAAUCCCUGGGCUCAACCUGGGAACUGCAUUUGAAACUGCAUGGCUAGAGUAUCGAAGAGGGAAGUGGAAUUCCGGUGUAGCGGUGAAAUGCGUAGAUAUCGGAAGGAACACCAGUGGCGAAAGCGACUUCCUGGUCGAAUACUGACGUUCAUGUGCGAAAGCGUGGGGAGCAAACAGG
rnacentral:rRNA from 1 species